rnacentral:rRNA from 1 species
GAUGAACGCUAGCGGCAGGCUUAACACAUGCAAGUCGAGGGGUAUAGUUCUUCGGAGCUGGAGACCGGCGCACGGGUGCGUAACGCGUAUGCAAUCUACCUUUUGCAGAGGGAUAGCCCAGAGAAAUUUGGAUUAAUACCUCAUAGUAUGUGAGAAUGGCAUCAUUUUCACAUUAAAGUCACAACGGCAAAAGAUGAGCAUGCGUCCCAUUAGCUUGUUGGUAAGGUAACGGCUUACCAAGGCAACGAUGGGUAGGGGUCCUGAGAGGGAGAUCCCCCACACUGGUACUGAGACACGGGCCAGACUCCUACGGGAGGCAGCAGUGAGGAAUAUUGGACAAUGGGCGCAAGCCUGAUCCAGCCAUGCCGCGUGCAGGAUGACGGUCCUAUGGAUUGUAAACUGCUUUUGUACAGGAAGAAACACUGGUUCGUGAACCAGCUUGACGGUACUGUAAGAAUAAGGAUCGGCUAACUCCGUGCCAGCAGCCGCAGUAAAAC